CCGAUUACUCUACUGAGGUCAAACAAAUCAAACCGCCGCAAUCUCCCUUGAACGCCGAACCCUAACUCUUCUCUGAUCACCGAUUCGAUACCUCGCACUGAUAAAGACUUCUGCAACCCUCCGCCGAUGAAUUCGAAUCGAAUCUGAGAAAUCUCAGAGGCAAUAGCAAAACCCCUCUGUAAUUGCAACGAACAAAGCCUUCGAUAUACUUGAAGCAAUCUGAAAGAAUCAGAGAACUCUAGGGCUGCGGGGUGGAUUCAAUUGACAGCGAAACAAUGUCGGAUCGUGGAAGCGGAACCGCCGAUCGGGUUGGGCCGCACGGAUAUCUCCGGGAACAGUCGCGAACUGUGUUCGUCUCCGAUGACCCCAAAUCGAGAGAAAUCGAAACCUUCAGAGAAAUUUGUGAUUGCGGGAUAGAAAAUCAAGUCUUCGGGGGUUUAUAUAGGUUAAGAAUCCCAAAAGAGAGAAGGUAAAAUUAUAGAAGGGGGUCGGAUUUUCUCGUAUUAUAGACGCGAGUGAAGCGCGUUCUCACCACUCGCUAGAAAGCGCGUUUUGGCAACUGGCGCCAGGUGUUGACGCGUAGAUUAGGAUAAUCUUCG
rnacentral:lncRNA from 1 species